GUUCAAGCGAUUCUCCUGCCUCAGCCCCCUGAGUAGCUGGGAUUACAGGCACGCGCCACCACUCCCAGCAGGAAACUGCUCAACAGUCACAUCUUGAAAGUAACUUGAGGCAACUGCAGGAGGGCUGCAUGGCGGGAAAGAAAUUGCUGAAAACAGGCUGGGUGAGCUGGCUCGUACCUGUGAUCCCAACACUUUGGGAAGUGAAGUUGGGCGGAUCACUUGAGG
rnacentral:lncRNA from 10 species